rnacentral:lncRNA from 1 species
AAAGAAAGAGGCUUCAAUAUUUGCAGCCGUAGGUGAUAUCUCUCUAGAAGUUGAUCGUCUUCGGUUAAGGUAAGAUUAUAAUAGAGAAAGCUGCUCCGAGAGCAGCGCUGCUUUUCUUUCCAUCCUGUCAGUUACCUUUAGCGUCUAUUGAUGAAGGUAUCAUCUUCACGGUGACUUUUGUUACGAGCCCAGACGCUCGGUUUUUUUUUCUACAUACUUUCGUAUCGGCGAGAAAUUACUACAAACCUUAUUAGGAUUAGUGUUCCCUCACGGCCAUAUCUCCAUGUUACAACGGGUGUAUGGAAGACAGACGGAAGACCGAGGCUUCUACCUGUGCUAAUUAGCUAUCUAGCAUGCUCCGAACACCUGUGCUAAUUAGCUAUCUAGCAUGCUCCGAACACCUGUGCUAAUUAGCUAUCUAGCAUGCUCCGAACACCUGUGCUAAUUAGCUAUUUAGCAUGCUCCGAACACCUGUGCUAAUUAGCUUUCUAGCAUGCUCCGAACACCUGUGCUAAUUAACUAUCUAGCAUGCUCCGAAGAACCUGUGCUAAUUAACUAUCUAGCAUGCUCCGAACACCUGUGCUAAUUAGCUAUCUAGCAUGCUCCGAACACCUGUGCUAAUUAGCUAUCUAGCAUGCUCCGAACACCUGUGCUAAUUAGCUAUCUAGCAUGCUCCGAACACCUGUGCUAAUUAGCUAUCUAGCAUGCUCUGAACACCUGUGCUAAUUAGUUAUCUAGCAUGCUCCGAACACCUGUGCUAAUUAGUUAUCUAGCAUGCUCUGAACACCUGUGCUAAUUAGUUAUCUAGCAUGCUAUGAACACCUGUGCUAAUUAACUAUCUAGCAUGCUCUGAACACCUGUGCUAAUUAACUAUCUAGCAUGCUCCGAACACCUGUGCUAAUUAGCUAUCUAGCAUACUAUGAACACCUGUGUGUAGUAACCAAGGCCACGAGAAAUGUGUUGUCACUGAAAAAUACUGUCGGCAGCAACUGUGAAAGCUGGUUAAAACAGUUAAGUGUAUAUUUUGUAUUUGUGAAAUUAUUUUGAUGUGAUAUGAAAGUAAAGGACUUUGUUUCUAGAACUGUAUCGCAAUUGAGAAUCGAUUCACAUUUAGUCUCCAUGGCUGCCAGAGCCAGUCUCCAUGGCUGCCAGAGCCCGUCUCCAUGGCUGCCAGAACCCGUCUCCAUGGCUGCCAGAGCCCGUCUCCAUGGCUGCCAGGGUCAGUCUACAUGGCUUCCAGAGCCAGUCUCCCACUGAAAAUAUCAUAAUGUCCUUGGAAUGGUAGGCUUGCCUACACUCCUUCUGAGUACAUUCUUAGGCUAUAUCGACUCAACGACUCACUUGUAACAUCUUCGGCCAUUAUAGGAACGAUGCAUUGUUAAAACACUCGUCAGCCUAAGUUCCAGCAAUAUCGUGAAACUGGACCCUGGUUAUCUUCUAUCCUGUCCUCUCCAUACAGGCACCAACUAACCUGUCCAUACAGGCACCAACACAACUCUGCUCUAUCCACUGUGAGAAGAGAUUACAUCUACAGAGUGCAGACUGCUUCUCCUUUAGAGAAACAUACAAGUCUUUUAGACAUUUGGAGGAUGGAUUGUUUACUUUAGAUCAGUGUUUCCCAACUCCAGUCCUCCAGUACCCCCAACAGCCCAACUCCAGUCCUCCAGUACCCCCAAAAGCCCAACUCCAGUCCUCCAGUACCCCCAAAAGCCCAACUCCAGUCCUCCAGUACACCCAACAGCCCAACUCCAGUCCUUCAGUACACCCAACAGCCCAACUCCAGUCCUCCAGUACACCCAACAGCCCAACUCCAGUCCUCCAGUACCCCCCAACAGUGUUUCUCAACUCCAGUCCUCCAGUACCCCAACAGCCCAACUCCAGGCUGGAGUGCAGACUGGUACCCAGGCUGGAGUGCAGACUGGUACCCUGGCUGGAGUGCAGACUGGUACCCAGGCUAGAGUGCAAACUGGUACCCAGGCUGGAGUGCAGACUGGUACCCUGGCUGGAGUGCAGACUGGUACCCAGGCUAGAGUGCAAACUGGUACCCAGGCUGGAGUGCAGACUGGUACCCAGGCUGGAGUGCAGACUGGUACCCUGGCUGGAGUGCAGACUGGUACUCAGGCUGGAGUGCAGACUGGUACCCAGGCUGGAGUGCAGACUGGUACCCAGGCUGGAGUGCAGACUGGUACCCAGGCUGGAGUAAAACAAUACACACAUCUAUCUUGCUCUGUGUGUCCCAACAUGCUGCAUGACAGUAAAUCCUGUUCAGUUGAACAUUUCUACCAACGGUCAUUAUUUUAUAUGCAUUUAUUUCUAUUACUUUGACAGACUGUGUGCACACACGUGACACACACACACACGUGACACACACACACACGUGACACACACACACGUGACACACACACACACGUGACACACACACACACACGUGACACACACACACACACGUGACACACACACACACGUGACACACACACACGUGACACACACACACACACAUGACACGCACACACACAUGUGACACGCACUCACACAUGUGACAUACACACACACACGUGACACACACACACGUGACACACACACACACACACAUGACACGCACACACACAUGUGACACGCACUCACACAUGUGACAUACACACACACACGUGACAUACACACACGACACACACAGACACACUUGACAUACACACACACACACACACGACAUACACACACACACACACUUGACAUACACACACACACAUCACACACACACGUUACACACACAAAUAUGUGCACAAACUCCUGAUGACAGUUUGAUUUAUGAUUAUGACAGAAUGGAGUGUGAGGAAGUUGUGUGAAACUGCAAAGUUUUAUUUUUCUUGUUUUGUCUCUAAAUCAUUUGCCAAAAAGAAGCCUGGCCCUGAAAGUGGCCAUGGUUUCACACGUGACAUGACAUGUGAAAUCUUUUUGUUGCUGCCAAGAAGAUUACAGAGAAACAUAGCUGUAGUUAAGGGGGAAGACAUGCAGUUUCUA